UUUAAACCUAGAGUCUUCCAGACAGAAGGAGAUUGUAACCCCUGCUUUAUUAUGUUCAAUUCAUGCCAAAUCUAAGGUGUGUUUUUGCUCUAUAUUAUGUUGUUUUGAAGUUUCUCUAUUGUCCAUUAUUUGCAGUCUUUAUAAAGGCUUAGGCGCUACAGUGAAAGAGAAUAGAGGGCAAAUCAGUUUGUGUUUCCUUUGUAAAGCUGUGAUUUGGAUGGAGUAAGGAAAAAGCAACAAGCAGUUAGGUCCAAAAUUCAGCAACUUGAUGAUGCAAUUAAGGUCGUAGAUAAGGAAAUGGGAUGAGCUGAAAACUAUAACUGAUAAGAGGGAUCAAGCACAAUAGAGCAUUUUUACCUUUACGCAGCAACUUGAUUAGCAAGAUAUGUCUGCUGGAACAAGGGACAACGUUGAAAACCAAUUUUGGUCCGAAAACCAAGAUAGUGGCAGCAUCCAUUCAUCUACUGCAGGGGUGACAUCCUUACAGAUUCACUUGAAGACUCACUUCAAGACUCAUCUGAAGACCUGAUGUAAAUAGCUACCCGUCUUCACAUGUUUUGGCCAAGCCUAACCAUUUUUGGCACAAUGUACAUAAACAACUACUUCGUUGGCAUAUGUAUUUUUGGAAAUCUGGCAGAGACAUCACAUUUGCAAUCUGGGAAAGGCACCAGAUUUUUGCUUAGCAUUUGUAGCCUUUAACAUAUGCCUAUAAUGUAGUUUUGAUGUAAUAUAUCUAUA